CGGGAUAAAAUACGUAUUUUUCUUUUCAAAUUAAAGGGUACAGCUGUUAUAAAUAGGGGGUAAGAAUGCCACUGCAGUGUUAAAAAAUGUUUGGGCGCACCUAUGCGCACGGACACCCUUCUGCCCGCUCAGCGGUACCGCGGGAGGCCCCUCAGCCCCGCGGCUGCAGCGGCCCGGCUCUCUCUGCUCUCUUACCUGGCAGCAUUUCCUGAUACCAUCAGAGACCACAGGUGAAGUGUUGAAAUAAAGCAAGAGUUUUCUCCUGAUGAGAUGUCCAGACAGACACGACUAAGGAGAUGAGCAGCUACCCAUAUCCUACGUAUAAGGCAUGGUCUGUUUUCAGAGACAUAGCAAACCAAAAAUACACAAAGUCCAGAAGUCAAGAGCCAGAAGCAAGGGAUUCUGUGACUGUUGUGCUCUGAGAAGCAAGAGGCAGCUUUGCUCUGCACCUGGGCUGGAGCUGCUCCUCCCCUCAGCAGAGAGCAGGACACGAGGGUGCUGCUGCACGUGUGGAACAAGUGGCAAUCUGCAGUGCUGAGAGGAGCACAAGCUGAAAACAUGGGUUCUGUGGUUUCAUCCUGUAUUGCAACCUUCCAGCCGAAGACCAUAUAAGUCAAAACAGAAGGAACAGAAAGCCUCAUUUAUCUGAGGCAGCAUCUUCUUGCAGUCAUCAUCCUCCAACUGCUUUGAUGUUACAAGAGAUUACAUUGAGGUAUGAUUAGAAGGGAUGCUGGAAUUAUGCCCACCUCUCCUCCCAGGAUUUUUAAGAGAGAUAUCCUCAAGAACUGUACUUGAAGCAACAGGAACAAAAGUCUGCUCAUAUGAUAAAGAGGUAAGAGAUCCAAAAAUUAUGAAUUAAGAUUUUAAAAUUGCUUUACAUGACAUAGAAUUUAUAAAUUCAUUUAACAAGAGGAAUGAGAGAUGUUUGUAUAUAGACUUUUGCACCAGCUGAUGACCAGAUUUCAAAAACAUAAUAUGAAAGAUGCCAAGCAUGAAAUCCUAACCUACUAUUAAAUAAUUGCACCGAAAGACCUGUCAUUUAUUUCACAGUGAACAGUUAUUUAUUCCAGCUCCCAGCAGGACUCUGAUUAACAAAAUUUCUAAUUUGCUCUGAAUUUAUUCCACAAGUACCUAAAAAGGAGGAAGCAUUGGGAAGAAUUUUGCAUCACUGUAGGUUUUCUUCUCUAAAGAAACUGGAACAUUUUCCUUGUAAGCAGCAGCAGCUAGUUUUGCAUUCCAACAAAGAGCAGGAGAGAAACUCUACCUCCUUAAAAUAUGCUGUCUUGCAUGUAAGUUAAUUUAUGAUUUAUUACAGUGAAACUAUUUACGACCUUAAUAAGAAUAUUUACAAGCUUUGACUCAGAGCUUUGCCUCCUCUGUUAGACACUAGCAUGUCCUCCCUUCCUGCUGGAGCUGUGGUGAUUCCAUACAGGAAUGAAUAUAAAACUCAGAUGGUGACAGGGAGCCAAGGGAUUCCUUUCUGAAGAACUUGUGUCUAUUGCCUCUUGUCCUGUCCCCAUGCAUGCCUAAGAAGAAAACACCUCCCUCUCCACCACAGCUGCGCUUUCAAGUACUGGAAGAGUGAAAGUGCAUCACUUGGGCUUCUUCUCUCAGGCUGAAAAAACUCCAAUCCUCUGAUUUUCCUCUCAGGGAUUUUUUCACAUGCUGUUCCACUAUCCUACUGUCUUACUUGGGAAUCUAAAAUACCUAAAGUAAUAAAUUGAACAACAUUGCUUCUGAAUGUGAGUAUUUAGUAAAUAAAGAAGAACAAAUUCAAAGCCUUCAAAAGCCAUGUUCUUUUAACAUACUCAACUCCCUAAAGCAACUUAAAAUUAUUCAUUUACUAGGUCACCUUCCUUAAAGAAAACAAAAAAUCAAAUCUUCACAGUAAACAGCUUUAAAUCUUGUCAAGUCACAAAUGGGUCAGACAUGAGCUGUGUGUUAAUACACAUGUGCAGAGGAGAGAAGGGAAGAAUGAAAGGCUGCAUUCAAAGGGAACUGGCUUCUGAAUUAUUGUUAAAGAUUUACGGUCCAUGAAGACACCAUGUGGACUGAUGCAGAAUAACAGGCUUAGAAGUACAAUCAACACUAGAGUUAGAGUGGGCUUUUUUUUUGCGGUCACUUGGAUGCAGAAAUAAACUGUCUAUAUUUUGAAGGAAGUGAGAAACAACCAAAUAGAGAAGAGUGAGUUAUGAGAUCGUUGGGGUAUUGUACUGCAGUAUUGCAGUUAAAAUAAUAUAUCCUUGCCUUGUCCUUUCUUUGCAUGCCUGGAUACACAUUUGUAGUCUAAUAGCUGCAUGCUAUUUUGGUCACUGUUGGAUGCAGACUUUCUCAACCACAGCAUAUUAGGUUGUAUUUAAUAUUUUAAUUACACUUCAGUUUUAUAACAGCUUAUGUAAUCGAUUUGAAUCUGAUUUUGAGAAUAGCUGUUUUACUUAAGUUAUGAAAAGUUGUCUCCUACAGAGCAUGAAGUAGAUAACCCUGAAGGGAAACAUGCCCCACCUUUUUAAUAAAGAUUGACAGAAAUUAGCUGCUUUGAAUCUUUAUGUUUUUAAAUGAACCAGCAAAAACCAGAAAUAGUUAUAGAAGUCACCAUAAAGCUUUUCUUCAGCCAAUAGCCACAGCAUUAUGUUUGUUCAAAAUAGUGAAAACUUUGCAAAACAUGAUUACAUAUAAGAAUUGAGCUUUCAUCUGAGAUCUCAUAAUGUGGCAAUUCAUUAAUUCCUUUGCCAUUAAAUACACUUUAAAACACAAUAUUAAAAUGUGAAUGAGGAGCAGGCAACUCUUCAUGUUAAGUGCAGAAAGUUGCAAAGAAUGUCACAGCAACAGAUCAAAAUAAAUGGAUGCUCCAAAAUGCAGAAAAUGUCUGGAGGUUCCCACACAGCCCCUAAGAAGCUUAGCAGCUCUCCCACUCCUAUUUGCAGGGAAAAUCAGGAUGACAGAUACAUAUGAUCAGGUACAGAAUAAAAAACAUAUAAUAAAAUUAAAAAAUAAAUAAAAGACACUGGAAGAAGAAUAAUUUUUUUUACAGAUCUUCCAAAUCUGUAUCUCACAGAAAUAAAGCAUAUAGAGAACAGAAUAUGUAGGCUAUAAUGUGAAAGUACUGAAUCAGAUUUCUGAAAUAUAAUUUCUCUAACUUAAAAAAAAUGUCAGCCUAGAAGUUAUAUACACAAAUUUUUUUAAACCCAAAAUGGAAAAACUGUAGCCAAAAAGGAAAAUACUGAAAAAUGUAGGUGCAGAAGAAUAAACAGGCACAGAAAUGAUAAAAAUAGAAACAGAUUUUAAAUUGUAAAAAUAGAACCUAUUACCUCCUUACCGUUUAGCAAAGUGGCAAAAUGUUCAUGUCAUAACCUAAACUCGCAGGAAAAAGUACAGAUUUAAAAACUCAUCAAAUCCAAACUCCCUGAAGAAUUACCUGUGUUUCUGGGGGUGUUUUUUGUCUUGACAGACUUCAACAAAGAUAACAAGAAGAUGAUAUAACCAAUGUUCUAACCAACAUGAAAGAGCUGUGAAGACAGGGCAACUUUAAGCUAAGAAGAUCACGCAAGAUUAAGGUGCAGGAUAGACACAGAUGAUUCUGCAUGUUAAGGUACUGCAGCUUAUAUUUAGUGAAAAGAGGAAAAUAUCCUAGAACUUGCUUGCUUAAGGCAUUACUCCUGAUUAACAUCAAGAAGAAGGUCUAAAAUGAAGAAACCAGGCCAGUGCUUUGUUGCUCUAAUAAUGGUAGACUAUCUCAUUGUGCAUAAUGGCUAUUAAACAAAUGGACUAUGCUCAUUUUGCAUAAUGACUAUUAUGAUUAUUACUAAAAGACUGCAGGGAUUCAAUACUGAUCACUGUGAACAAGUAUGGCUGGUCCUUAAAUUGAUUUAUUUCACGUACAUCAUUUCUUCACAGCUGUAAUAAUUUCAUGCAAGCAACAGCAAGCUCCAUGAUAUUGCAGUCAUCAUGAAUUCUCUUAAAGAGUCAAGGAAUGUAGUGUCCAGGCUAUUUUCAGUAAAUAUACAGUAUUUUUAUCAGCAGUGACAAAUGUUAAAGGAAAGAGGAAAAUAAGGGGUCUGGCAUCAGUAUUAAGAUGGUGCCAAUUUUGUCACAUUACUGCCAAUUAAAAUAUUUUCCCAUAAAUUUUAAGUACUUGCAACAUUUUUACAUUCUCUUUUAACUGUUCUUUUUUGUGUUAUAUCACAUCAUAUUAUGCUAUUUGUCUCAGUAACAUCCUGCAGAGGUGAACUCAACUGUGCAGUUAAUCUGAACUGAUACAGACAUUUAUUUACUUGGUCCACAUGCACAAAAACUGUGCAUGUCCUGAAACAUCCCUGUUUUUCCAACAGUGUUAGACUGAUCAAAAAAACAAAAACCAAAAAACCUGUAAUUUUGACACAGCAGCUGAAUUUUAAAUGCUGCUUUAUAGUGUCUUUAAUCAUCUAAUUGUCUUGAGGAAUACAAGAAAUGUGUGCUGGGCAUUGUGUCUUUCUCAAUGCUCCUUGUCAAUUAAUAAGCUUUGCCAUGAGAUAGCUCUGCUCUCAUUGACUCCACUGGGGGGAAUCCAAACUUAUGUGUCUCCUCCACAAAUUGUACCAUACAAGUCUUUUCAAUGUCUCUUCUCCAGAAAUGAAUUUUCUCCCACAUCCUAUAUCUUCCCAUGUUUGUUCUCCCUUCUUGUACCUCCAAUUGUGCCCUUUUUGGCGUGGGAUGGGAAAGUGAGUUUAGGAGUCUGAUUAUUCUAAAUUUAAAAAAAAUGUAUUAUGAACCAGUUUUAUUUUCAAUAGCCUAGUCUUGGUUAUUCAAUCUCCAGUAAAGAUAUUCUCCCAAGGAAUCAUACUGAAAAAAUAGUUCUGGGCAUUCUGUUGCUUCCAGCUGACCUUUGUGUGCCUUAUAAGAAGUAUUCAUAUUUUCCUAGGCAGAACUUCUUUCAAAGACAUGCUGGAAACGGUGAUGCCAUAAAUCUGUGUCAAGCCCAGAUGUGCAGGUCUCUGGUGCCUAAAAGUCAUCCCAGCAUAUUUUGAUAAAUGCUCCCAUGGUUUGUUUAGGCAGUUUAAAGUAAUGUGUGUAUAUUAAAAAAAGUCACUCCAUGUACACCUGGUAAAUAUGUGAUGUAUUAACUGUACAUAAAAGGCACAGAGGUGAGGGCCAGAGGCUGUGGCUCAAACAUUGGUUGAGAAUUUUGCUCACAGGUCAUAAAAAGAGUAACAAGGAGAGUCUCCCUCUGUUUGAGCUUGCAGGAUUCAAGCUAUCAAUGUACAUCCCUUUAUAAGCAUGUGUACCCCCCACAACAGCUUUGGAACAGCUGAGCACUGAACAAAAUUGCAGAUUUCAUUAUUCUUCUGUUUAUCAUUAUCUCCAAAGAAAUGUAUCUUUCUUACUACAUAAAACAUUCAUAGUUUAGAACUUUUUGCUAACACAGGUGCUUAAUGUUGAAAACAGGAUUGUGGGUUUUUUCAGCCAGAACGAUAACAUUUAAACAGAUACACAUAUAUAGUUCCUUUAUUCCUUCUGGCUAAUUUUUCUAUUACUCGCAUUCCAGGUGUUUGUUUCCUGUAUUUUCAGGUGCUUAAUUUGGUACUCCUCUUCUUGAUACCACUCUGGUCUUUUCGGUCACUUUCUGCCUUUUUAUGCUUUUCUCCACUGCAUUUUUGGACCUGUCUAAAACCCAGUCUCUUAUGACAUUAUCAUUUGCUUUCACCAUUGUCAACAGGGCAAUUUCUUUCAGUACUGUAGGUCAUUAAAAUUUGCAGCUUUUUUCUAAAUUUCCUGCCAUUCCUUUAUUUCCUUUCCCCCUUAAUAAUAUGAUAUAAAACUGUUCUUCAUUAUCUUUUUUAAUAUAAUCCCUGUUAACAAAAUCACUUUUUAAUUUUAGUCAGACCCUGGUCCACUCAUUCCUCUUUCAAAAAUUAAAAUAAAUUAAAUAAGUAAAGGUAUGACUACUUAUUUACAAAAUUCCUCCCAGGAAAAAUUAUAAUUAUACAAUUAUACAAUAUAACUGUACCAUAAACAAGCAUCCUCAUCCUAAUAUUCAGAAUCUUCUAAGAGAAAUUAAUAUAAUGUGUUUAUUAAGUGUUUAAACAAAUAAUCAUACAAACCAAUAUAGUAUCAUCAAGUGCUGUCAUUCUUGGAUGCCUGAAUUAAACUGGUUAUACACCUUACACAGUAUGAAAAAACACUUUUGAAGAGACACAAAGAAUUUGAGAAUAGUUGCUUGAAAUCAAAAUUAUCAAAAUCUAGGCUUUACUGGGAUUAAUUAUUUGGGAUUACACUAAGGUCAACUAUAAAUUCUGACUAAAAGAAGCAAUUGGUCUAAGAGUGGAAGGCAGACACUACUAUUUUUACAGUGCUCAUAGUAAUAUUGUGACACUGAGCCCUGCUACAAAUGGGAGCUGUGCAGCAUGACAUUUUCCUAGGAAAGAAAAUGCAGCAGUAAACAUCAUUAGUCAAGCAAGACCUACACGUCAUAAGCAAUAGGCAAGAGUCCAGGAAGGCCACAAGGUUAAAAUGCUUUGUUUGAGUAAUUAUAGGAUUUGAAGGAUUAGGCUGAACCAAAGGAUUUAAGGACAUGGAAGGAUUAAAGGGAGAAAUAAAUAAAUUAAAUUAAAAAGAAUGAAGGUAUAGACAGCAGCACAAAAAGUGAUAUCACAGUCACUAAUUUUUGAAACAAGAAUUGUUAAAUAAAAUAGAUGUAAUUGCAUGCAACAUGAUUUUGCUGUAUUUGUUUGCUAGUCAUUAGCUGAGUCUGCAGAGACAAAGAUUCUUUCCAAAAGAGCUGUAUGUUUCUGAGAUUGAAGAUCUAGCAGAAAAACCAUGUAUUUGAGGUGAGAUGUCUCAGCCAACUUCUUUGUACCCCAGAAUGUAUUCCAUGGCUUCUGUGAAAGUGAAAUCCUGGAGUACAAACCAUAGGCGAGAUCACAGCCACUCCAGCCUGUUACUGAAAUCUGAAAGUUCUUGCCAUACACCCGCAAAAAAGAAUUCCAAUCUUUACCUUAUGCUACCCUAAGUUACAACAUUUUACAAAGCCAAGUUUGUUUAAAAGCCUACUUCCCUCGUGAACUGUUAAUAGUGAGAAUUAAUUCAGAGUUUGUUUCUUGAAU